rnacentral:hammerhead_ribozyme from 1 species
GCACUGCUGACGAGUCAGAAACAGGACGAAACAGCUGUCCAGUGC